rnacentral:rRNA from 1 species
UACGUAGGGUGCGAGCGUUGUCCGGAUUUAUUGGGCGUAAAGAGCUCGUAGGCGGUCUGUCGCGUCGGAUGUGAAAACCCAGGGCUCAACCCUGGGCCUGCAUUCGAUACGGGCAGACUAGAGUACGGCAGGGGAGACUGGAAUUCCUGGUGUAGCGGUGAAAUGCGCAGAUAUCAGGAGGAACACCGAUGGCGAAGGCAGGUCUCUGGGCAUUAACUGACGCUGAGGAGCGAAAGCAUGGGGAGCGAACAGG